UCGGCGCGCCUCGCGGCCCCGCUGCUCCGGCGCGACCGCCGCGUCUGCACCGCGGUGAUCAGUUUGAAACACCCGCUUUUUUCUUUCCCCGUUUCCUCUCUACUUCUCGAUUCUGUCCUUGUUUGGGCAUCGGUGGGGGGCGGGCAGCAUUCUAGGACCCGCGGCGUUGGUGGCUCCUCUCCAUGGGGCUAACUCCAGAGGUAGGACCCCGGCAGGGAGAGAAAGCAGGAUAAAAAUGAGAACUAGAAUUUCAUUCCCCUCGAAGUCGAAGGACCCACUCGCGUAACUCCUCUUUGGGACACUCGCUCGCUUCUCAGCACCAGCAGGAAGGGCCGGGAGAGCGCGCAGCUCCGCUUCGGAGCCCGUGCCGCGGAGGCUGGCUUGCUCGCACCAACGCAGGACACCACCCUCGGGAACCGGCUAGGGGUCGGAGGAAGCCCGCCCUGGGGCGGCGGGGCCGCGCGGGACGGACCUUUGACCCAAGCCCUGUUCGUUUUCAAAGAAGGAGGGCACUUAUCCGAAAUUUGCAUUCGCGUGGCCUUUCAGGGCCCUUCCCUUUAAGCGAAGCUCCACCCGAAACUGCCAAGUGAAUUUGGUAGAUUUGGGACCCUAAGUUGGAAACCGAGAUAUGAAAGUGUGCUCCAGUCAAUCUUUACUUUUCACAGAGGACACCUAUUUGGGAAAUUCACAGACCCUCGAACCCCAUCUACGAAUCGCCAGUUAAUCACUUCUACUUUAGAGAAGAGAAAAUGCAACAACCCUAAGGAAGACAAUUUCAAAGGAGGUAUACUUACUCAGGACCUACUUGCCAGAAGUAUUUAGAAAUUACCUCACUUAACCUUCACAACAAUCCUCUGGGGAAGGUACUACAUCUCCAUCUUACAGAUGAGAAAAAUCAAAACCCAGAGAAGAAAGCAUCUUUUCUGCCAGCCUCUGAAGGUGCCAGUGGUCCAUGGCCUGCAAACCGUAGACUUGUUUCCAUGGUGCCGCCCUUGGGAACCCCAGCCCAGGACUUAGCGGAGGAGCUCAGCAGCUUCCAACCCUGGACCCCUCCUCAAUCUCCUUGGAGAAUUCCUUUCAACUUCCUGACCACUAAAUGUUGGAGUGCCUCAGGCUCAGUAUUCAGAGUUCUUCUGGUCUCCAUUACCCAGGUUGUAAAUUCCAGCCACGCAUGCCCUGACUUACUCAUCUCCACAUGCCUCCUGACUACAGCAUCGGGCCCUGGGAGGAGUGGAAUAAAAUGUCUGCAAAAGGAAUUUCAUAGAACCAUGACAGAGAAUGUACAGCCUCUUUCAGUGCUGAUCAUGAAUCGUUGGGGGUAGCAAAAGACCUUUCUGUAGCUGGGAGAGUUUUGAAAAUCUGUUCUCAAGUUCUUAGAGCAGGGGACGCAUCAUCUUCUGAAAAAGGAUUUAAAGGAAAGGAGACGGCGGGUUUUGAUGGAGUCGUCUGAGGAUAUACACAUGACGGAAAGGCAAGAGUUGAUGUGGUAAAGCCAGAAGUCCCUGUGUUGCUUCAUCCUUAGCUGUCCCCUUUCCCUGUUAUCCCUCAAGUUCCCAGUCUAAGCUAAUCUUUUGGGGGGAAUCUUUUUAGCCUUGUUAAUCAGGAGAGAGGAAACAUGAAGCAGAGCGAGAAAUUUACAGGAAGAGAUGUGACAUUCUGAAAAAUGUGUGUGUGCUUUGAAAUAUAUUCAAAUACGGACAUUCAAAUACGGAUUUGCCUUUUCUGACUGGGAGUAUCUAGGUUGUGUUGAAGGAAGAUUAAGAGUGUCAGAGCAGGGAUGCAAAGAGAAAGAUUCAACGUCCAGCCUUUGACAUCUAGAAGAGGACUUCUGGGUCUGCAGAAAAGCAUUUGUUUGAAAGUCAAUCUUUGUGGCGAGAGAAUUUCUUUAGCACCUGUCAAGAGCUGUCCUGUGGACCAGAUCAUUAAAAAAAAAAAAAAAAAAAGGGGCAGGGAUAAAGAGAAGUAAGUAUAUGACAGAGGGUAGGUGGCAUGUGUGAAUGAGGAGAGAAAAUGAGGGAACGUAGUCAGGGAGACCCAGGUGUCCUAACCACCCCUCUUUGGGCCAAUGUCCAAAGUCAAGGUCAGUUGGUAGAGGCAACAGCAAAGGGCUUUGUGCCCUGAACCUCUGGAUCCCUGGGAGGUUGGUAACAUCCACUGGUUGGCACAUGGACCAUGGCACAUCCCUGAAGGAGAAGUUGUCAUGACAGAUGGGCCCAGUGUAGCCCCCAGAUCUCCACAGCCCACAGGAAGUUUAUGGGGAGCCAGAGAUCUCCAAGAGGCCCACUGAAGAAAUUCAGAGAUUUGGGGAGAACUACCUGGAGCUUGAGAGUAAGGACAAAUGGCCAGCACUCUGGAACCUGGUGGCAGAUGACAGAAUGCUGUCCCCAGGGGGCAGGUCAAUGAGCCUGUUGAGCCUCCAGAGUUACCAGUGUAGGGCAUGGAGCAGAGCUUCACUGUGAUUAAGGACUGGUCCCUAGAAGAAAAGUGAGAGACUAGCUAGAGGAGAAGAGCUGCCCUCGGCCAAGUCAUUCCCUCCUUGAAUCCAUAUGGGAUGUAUUAGUCCUUUGGGGUAAAUAGUACUUUUAUUCUGUGGCUGAAGAAGCUGUGGCUUCAGAAGUUGAGAGUCAUUUACCCAAAUGCAUCCACGAGCCAGCAGCCUCAGGGCACAAUUCAACCCUCAGCUCCAAUGGUUCAUCUAGGUGCUUACCAUCACUCUUGGCUCCGUGGAAGGUUCUUAUCUGUAUCCCGUUUCUACCCUGAGAUGUCUUGCUUUGUUGUGAAAAAGGCCCAGAAUUCUUCCAAGAUACAUACUCCCAAGAGAUAAAAUGCAAUGUGGCCUGGUACUGUGGUGAUGACUCAAUCACUGACCUUUUAAUAAAAAUGCUACUGUGUUCCUAAAUGGAAAACGCCACACAGGAUGAGACUGGCAUUUGGGGAAACCCCUGAUGAGUUGUCUCAGUUGAUUCUAUGACUCACUUAUUUGGUGCUUCUUGGAUUUAUAGUUUAUACGCCAAACUAAAGAGGAAAUAGUUAAACAUAGUCGAAUGGAAUGUUCCCACGUCAUGCAUUUUCCAUUUUUCUCUCUGUUUUGCAUACGCUCAGAGUCUGUGAUAAAGACCUAUUUCAGUAUCUAUAGUUUUCUAAUUAACUAAUCAGAGCAGAAAAGCCAUUGUUUCAUCAAGAUUUUGCCAUAUUUUACAGUUCAAGUGUUUCUUGGGAGUUAAAAAAUAUAUAUACAUUUGUCCCCAGACAUAACCAACAAAGGAAGGCAUGGCAAAGGAGUCAAUGCUUGGCCUGAAGAGGAAGUGCACAUGGUCUGACUGAGGCCACGGAAGCUUAGAGAACCAGGUAGUUAUAGCCCACCAUGGGCCAGUUCACGGACCCCCUGCUCCCCAUCUCCUCUCUACCAGCAUUUCCCCAGCUAAUUUAACUGCAAAACACGUAAGCCCAGAGUGGAGGGAGGUGUAUGUUGACUGUAACUAGUCUGAUUAAAUGCCACUUCUUUUAUUCUGUUGGGAGACAAAAUGGCUGCCGACUUCAUCUGUUUAAAUUGAACUUUAAAUGUCAUUGGUGUCCUAUGUAUUUUGCUUAAAAAUGAGGCUAAGGGUUACUGUGGGGAAUUAUUCUGAGGCUUACAUAAGUCAGA